rnacentral:lncRNA from 1 species
UCGGCUAUUUCUGUUUUUGCUGUUCCUUGGAAAUCCUUCAUUCACUCGCUGAUCCAUUCCACUUGACGGGGAUUUAUCCAGGUUUUGCUUUGUGCCAAGUCUGUGUUAAGGGCCAAGACUGCAAAAGUCAGUGACCUGCCCUCAAGGCUUUUUUGCUUCUGGGGUAGAAACCAAAGGUUUUUAGAUAAACAACUUUCCAGAAGGUAACUUAUUAAAUCCUGAAAUGAGUGACUGUCGGGACUGUCCUUUAGAACAUUCAAGAGUGACAUUCAAGGAGUUCCCAUCGUGGCUCAGUGGUUAAUGAAUCCGACUAGGAACCAUGAGGUUGUGGGUUCGAUCCCUGGCCUCGCUCGGUGGGUUGGGGAUCUGGCGUUGCCGUGAGCUGUGGUGUAGGUUGCAGAUGCAGCUCGGAUCCUGCAUUGCUGUGGCCCUGGUGUAGGCCGGGGGCUACAGCUCCGAUUAGACCCCUAGCCUGGGAACCUAGAAAAAGACCCCCCCCCAAAAAAAAAGAAAGAGUGACAUUCAAGAUCCUAGAACAGGAAGAGAUCUUAGAGUUGGUCUAAGGGUCUUCCUGCUCUUCUCCAGACAGAUGAGAGCCUGAAACCCUAAAAGUAACCUCAGGGUCACACACAUAUGACCUUCGAGGCAGGGUCUAGAAGCCAGAGCUAGGCUCUUUCCAUCAUAUCCUUUGGCCUUUUCUUUCCUGUAAUUUUUUUUUUAAUAGUUAUUUCCCCAAUACAAUUUUUUUUUUCUACUGUACAGCAUGGUGACCCAGUUACACAUACAUGUACACAUUGUAUUUUCACACAUUAUCAUGCUCUGUCAUAAGUGACUAGACAUAAUUCCCAGGGCUACACAGUAGGAUCUCAUUGCUAAUCCAUUCCAAAGGCAAAGUUUGCAUCUGUUAACCCCAAGCUCCCCAACCACCCCACUCCCUUCCCCUCCCCCUUGGCAAGCCACAAGCCUCUUCUCCAAGUCCAUGAUUUUCUUUUCUGUAUCUUUCUUGUAAUUUUAAGUAGGGAACACUUACGAUGUGAGUCCUGUCGAAAUCAUGGGAACAGGAGCAGCAGACCAUCUCAUUUAGCCUCAUUGACUGGGUGGAAGUUGUUUGUCCUACCCUGUAGAUGAAUAUGCUGAGGCUAGGAGAGGUGAUGACGUUUACCCAGCAUUCAGAGAGCCGGGGGUGGGAGUUCCUGUUGUGGCUCAGCAGAAAUGAAUCUGACUAGUAUCCAUGAGGACACAGGUUCGAUCCCUGGCCUCACUCAGUGGGUUAAGGAUCUGACAUUGCCGUGAGCUGUGGUGUAGGCCCAUGGCUAUGGCUCUCAUUCGACCCCUAGCCUGGGAAACUCCAUGUGCCAUGGGUGUGGCCCUAAAAAGACAAAAAGCAAAAAAACAAACAGCCGUGGUGGAAUCAGCAUUGUAACUUGGGUCAGUCUCACAAAGCUGAUACUAACUUCCCGUAUGUCCUAGGCCCGCUAUAGAAUUCCAGAUUUCUCUACUCAGGAGGCCCUUAGCAUCAGAUUCCUCUAGACUUACUGAUGGAGACUUUUUAUUUUUAAUCCUCAUGGGAAAUGCAUUUCCUACUAGGUACUCAUGUUACCUAGUUCAUUUGUAACCUGAUGGGUUUUUUUUUUAACCCUUUCCUGUUAGUGUCUAGUGAGAUUUUUGCUCCAGGAAGGAUUCCUUGUGUUCAGUGGAUAUGUCUGACUAUCUUAACUCAAAGUACUGAAUUUUCAGCCUUAGCUGUAAUUGCGUAAUUUUUUUCCACUCCCUGUUGUGGAGAGAUAUUAAAAAACUAUUGGAGACACAUGAGCUGGUGGUUGGCUGCGAUUCCUUUGUAACCAGAGCUGCCACGGCAUCACUGUUUGCUUGGUUCUUUAAUGCGUGCUACCUGCCCCCCCUACCCCCGCCGUCUUAGCACCGUCUCGGCUUCAUGAACAUGUUACCAGCUGGCAGGGGGUGGUGAGGAGGGGGGUGUGUGAGGGCUUGUUUAACAGUGUCUUCCUCCUUGUAGUAAAUGCAACCAAGCCUGAAAUUUUUCUGUUCCUCUUGUCUGAUUUCUUCUGAUGAAGAGACUAUUUACAAAGCAAUUGACUCUGUAUUUGACUCUGGAUUUUUUUGUUCUAAAGUCAGGAUCUUCAUACCUUGGAGUUCCCAUCAUGAUGUUGUGGGUUAAGAAUCCGACUGCAAGUGGCUUGGGUUGCUGCAGAGGUGUGGGUUCCAUCCUCAGCUCAGCCCAGUGGGUUAAAGGAUCCAGCAGUGCCACAGCUGUGGCUUGAUUUCAAUCCCCGGUCAGGGAACUUACAUAUGCCACAGAUAUGGCCAUAAAAAAAGACAAAAGAAUGGUACAAACGCUUUAUACAUUGGAAAAUGGGCUGGAUGUUACCCAGCUUGCAGGGUUGUGAGGCUUACCUUGGACAAGUUACUGACUCUAAGCCCCAGUUCCUUGUCUACCAAAUAGGGGUAAUAAUGGUAGGACUAUGUCAUAGACUUGUUGUGAGGCUUCAGUGGGAUAAUGCAUGUAGAGUGCAGGGCAUACAAGUGCUCAAUAAAUCUUAGACGGUGUUAUCAUUACUGUCCAGGACUUUUCAGUUGGCUAAACCAGGCACAGCCCACACUCACAUCUCUUCAUGGAAUAAAGCUCCCCAAACCUCUUCGUCUGCCUCUUUCUGUCCUUUCUUAUUCCCUGUCCAGGUCCAAAGGUGUUGUGCCCCUUCAGAGGGAAACAAACUUUCUUAGUCCUUUGUUGUCCUGGUCCUUCCCCAGUCAAGUCCUGUCUCCCCUGCAAAACCAUCAUCUGGGAGUUCCCAUCAUGGCGCAGUGGUUAACGAAUCCAACUAGGAACCAUGAGGUUGCAGGUUCGGUCCCUGCCCUUGCUCAGUGGGUUAAUGAUCCGGCGUUGCCGUGAGCUGUGGUGUAGGUUGCAGACGCGGCUCGGAUCCUGCGUUGCUGUGGCUCUGGCGUAGGCCGGUGGCUACAGCUCCGAUUCGACCCCUAGCCUGGGAACCUCCAUAUGCCGAGGGAGUGGCCCAAAGAAAUAGCAAAAAGACAAAAAAACAAACAAACAAAAUAAACCCAUCAUCUGGCUCCUCCUUAUCUCCUACUCUCUCAUUUCUGCCAGCAUCUUUUCCUGUGCUCUUUCUGGCACUUGAGAUGCCCUUCCUCCUUCACUUCCCCAAUCACAAAGCCAACUCUUCCUUUAAGGCCUGGCUUUUCUGUGGAACCUUGCCUUGGUUAAGAUACGCUUUUGCUGCAUUCAGCAAAACCCAAAAAAGUGGCUUAAGCAAGAGUGAGGUUUAUUUCUCAUAUAAAAGAAUUCUAGAGAUAAGCAGUUCAGAGAGAGUAUGGUGACUCAGUGAUCCUCAGGAAUUUAGGCUUCUGUUUGCUUUUCUGUCUCAAGGUUGCCUUGUGGUCCAAAAUAGCUGCUGGAACUCCAGCCAUCACAUUCAUGUUUCAGACAAGAAUUAGAAGAAAGGGAGAAAGGACUUAAGAGUGAGUAGCAGCUGUUGGUCUGGCUUUAAAGGCACUUUCCUAGAAGCCUCUCUUGACAAUUUCUAUUCAGAUCUCGUUAGCCAUUUCUGGCUACAGGGGAGGCUGGGGAAUGUAGUGUUUUAUCUGGGCAUAUGGCCACCUCAAGUAAAACAGGGGCUCUGUUACAAAGAAAAAUGGAAGAAUUGAUAUUGAGUAGGCAACUAGCAGCCUCUGGCACAAGCCUUUUCCAACUACUCGAACCCAUCUUUCGGUUCUUCGCAUGAGCCCUACACUCACAAUUGUCGUAUUAUUGUGCCAUCUAUUAAUUCAUUGACCCAGUGAACAAAUAACAAGUGAGCCACUGCUCUGUGCAAGGCACGAUGCCUUUUAUAUGUUCGCUGUCAAGUGUCACUCUCAAACUAAGAGGUUAGCUGGCUCUUUGAGAGAAGGGAUCAUGGCUUAUGCUGCUUUUUCUCCCUCACAAUAACACCUUUCACAAAGCUGGGCACGUGGCAAGUGCUGGAUAAGUACCUCAUUGAUCUUCUAAUAGUCACAGAUGAGACGCUCAGUGAAAACUUCAAUUCCUUGACAUGGGACUGUGCCCAGCCGUUACUGGUUGCGUAAGGUUUGUUUGGGGUUCAUUCUGGUUUGAAGGUAGAGCCUAGGUUCUCUUGCUGCAUCAGUGCUGUGUUGCUGCCACACAGACCUGUUCCGGUAUUGGGGUGGCUCUGUCUGUUUUGGAAACUGGAUUCUGUUGGGAUACUCAACUAGAAUUAUAAGCAGACCUGUCUGUGCCCACCUGACUGUCUUCACCACCACUCUGCCCGUGUAGCUGUUUUUACUCAGCUCGAAUCUCCCUUGUGAUUUCUGCACUGCGGAGCUGCCAGGUGGAUCUGCAGUCUUUGCGCAGCGAGCGUCAGCCGCGGUUCACGUUCCUGCCUUCCCAUCUGAUCCCUGCUCCUGUCUGCCCGAGACAAGACUGUCUGAAGGGAGGUUGCCUCGAGCUUAUGUCACAUCUUGCAGCUGCUGAGAAAAUGAUUGUUUUAACAUUGUUAUUGGCACUUGAAGGAAAGGAACUAGAAAAUAUUUCUCCUCUACUCCCUGUAAGGCAGUGUGUUACGUGCUUCACCUGCGUGAUCGCAUUUCAUAUGCAGAACCGUCUACUCCUCCGUUCUCACUGUGAAGAAAGUAAUACUCGGCUCGUUUUGCAGAUGACGAAGCCGAGGCUCUGACCUGUGAACUAACAAGCCCAAGUGCACUUAGAGCGAAGCGGUGGAAUUAUUUUUUUCUCUAAGAUACUAAUUAAUUAUGUGGAGAGAUAAUUCACAUAGUAUACAAUUUACCUGCUUAAAGUGAGCAUGCAUGGUUUUUAGUAUAUUCGUAAAGUUGUGUAACCAUUGUCGCUCUAAUUCCAGACCGUUUUCAUCAGGUCAGGUGGGACUGUUUUGAGUCUAGGCUUCUCCUAUGAUUCCAUUUCUUUUUCUAAUUUGCCACAUAGUGAUUUAAAUUAACUAGACCCGAUUUAGGGGAACAUCAGGGCUUGUGUGUGUGAAAUAUGUGCAUAAAAGGACCAUCGCCUCAUAAGCUGUUUUCUUCCCGUUACUGCAGCAGUCCUGGCACGCUUUGAAUUGCUGCAGAAUACGCUGAAAUUCCUCUGGGCCCCCCAUCCUACCUUGUUUGUGUUUCCUGGACUUAGGACAGGGGACAGAAUAUUCCAAGCUUGAGGUUCCAGAAACAGCCCUGGGGUUGUAAUUGACAUCGUGAGAGGCACCCUUAUUCUGACCCGUGUCUUACUUGUCCCUGGAGCCCCAGAAUGUCAUGGUGCCUGGCAUAUAGGAAGUGCUUAAUAAAUGUUCAUGAAUAUCCAGAGGGUCAUUCCAUUAGCUCUAAUCUAAAUCACUGCCAUAACUGAUUCUUCUGCCUUUAGCCUUUCUCCUCCAGCCCCAGGUCUCUCCCACGUGAAAGACAAAGUGGUUGCUCUGGCCUAAAUCUACAGAGUUUAGACUGAAGUGAUCCUACUGGCUGUCCGUCCCUUUAAAAGGCUUUCCCCCAAGCCCUACCUAGCAACUGCUGCUUUCACGCUAUUGGCCGACACUGGGUGCAGGCCUGUGAGUGGCAAGGAGGGCUGGGGAAUCAGGAGUUGUCACUCUUCCGCCUCUGUAGUAAAGCGUGUUAAGGGAGAAGGGGACUCUGAAUAGCUUGGGGAAAACCAGCACAGCGCUUGCUCGCUCUGCAGUCCUUCCCUGAACCUGCACGUUCGUGUCAGUGAUUACAAAAUGGUUUGAUCUCUGUUUCCCCUAUUGGAUUCCAAACCCUUAAAUUGUGUAUGUUAGAAGGGGACGAUUUAAUUUUAGCAUCCCUAUCCCUAAUACAAUGCCAGCAUAUUGUAUUUAUUGAAUAACAAAAGAAAGAUGGUACAUUUUCAAGUAAGAACUUUGUGGGAUUUGGAAUUCUUGGCCGGACAAUUAGGGUCUUUAAGCAUUUAAAACCUUUUUUCAUUUCCUCUUCUUUAUCUCUUCUUCCUUUAUUUUAUUUUAUUUUAUUUUAUUUUAUUUUAAUUUUUAUCUUUUUGUCUUUUCUAGGGCUGCACCUGAGGCAUAUGGAGGUUCCCAAGCUACGUGUCCAAUUGGA